UCCAUGCUGUGAGUUCAGUACAGAGUGGAGAGAGGAAAGGAAAAAAGGGAAACACAAAAAGGACCUGAUUCCUCGUUAUUUGUUUGUACCUGUUUCGUUCUUUAAUUCUUUUCCUUUCAUUUGUUUCUUCCUCUGUGGGAUUAUACACUCAGGUGAGACAUGGGAUGUGGAAAUUCCUCACCAGCCAGCAAGAACAGCAGCAGCAGCAGCAGCAGCAGCAGCAGCACUGCAGGUCAGAAACAAUGGCACGUCGAGUCGUCAUCAAAGGUUGUUGACAGAUUAGAAGGGUCUGUGCCAGAAGAUGAAAAACGGAAGAACUAUGGAGGUGUGUAUGUGGGUUUUCCUACAGACCUGAGCGACAUCCCUACAAUAGAGAUCGGAUCACUCAGAGAGCACGACUUGUUGUCCCUCAGGAGGCCGCUGUGGAGGGACGGAUUCUGAUUUUAAUGAAGAGUCAGAAAGAGGGAGAAAAAAUAGAAGAGGAAACCCUGCAGCCGGCCUUCAGUUUGCCAUCAGAAACUCACCGAGUGAUGAGGAGCAGCUCUCAUCUUCUCUCGCUGCUUCGUCCUCCGUGAGGACUUUACUGGGAUCAGCUCCUCCUGGUUUAGUUGCUGUAAAAAACAAACUGCUUAAAGACUUUUCUGCUUUUUUUGGAAGCAGAUGGACUCAUAAAACAGGGACGGUUUGCAGUUUGAACAUAUGAAGGUGCAUAGAUAGUUGGCUCCACUUCUUUUGACCUUAUUGGCUUGUUGUAUAUCUGCUGAAUGAAACACCAGCAGCUGUUACAAGAGGCCAGAGGCAGAAGCAGUGGUUACUCUUCUUGUCGUUGGGGAAGUAAUACUAAGUUAAUCCAAAUAUGUAGUAAGACUACAUUUUAAACAUAAAUAAGGAUACGUUUGGUUAUAUUCGCUCAAUAAAACCUAUCAACAGCCAAAGCUGGUGUCAGUGAAUCCAAAUCCUGGCAUAUCUUCUUAUGUGCCAAACAGCUCUAUUGUUGUCAAUAACUUUUCAAACCACAUUGAUGAGCCACCCUGUAGCACUGGUUGGCAUGUACCUUCAUUAGGAUGAACACACACUUUAUUUUGACAGCUUGCUUCAAUCCAAUGUGGAAUCAUUUGCUGCUGAAAAUAGUCCCCAACAAAAGCACUAUUGACCAUUAUUCAAUAAAAUGACUUGAGCCUUUUUAGAAAAUAUAAAUGUAUAUUAGUGAGCUGUUGAUCUUCAGAGUAUACCAUAGUAACGCAGGCAGGAUCAACGGUUAGUACUCACGUGUAGCUUGUUUUGUUUGACAUGAUAACGUGCAGUCUCUUGGCGUCUCCAGGACUCAAACAGCACAGUAAGUGGCUCUUGCUGUGAGAGGACGUCAGAAAAUCUUCUCUCCUUUGGGCAUUUACACAAAAUGAAAGCUGUAUGAAUGUUCUGCUGUCCUUUAACAUUUGUGCUGGAGUUGAACUCACCUGUGCUGCCCCUGCUCUCCCAAGGAAAACACCUGUUGGUUUCUUAGGAAGUUGCUAAAAGUAAGCACAUUAUUUCACACACAUUCAAGACACUGGCUCUGAUGUUUCUCAAUUUGAUCAUUGAACAGUUUGAACAAAGAAAUAAUGCAAAUGUAUUAUUUUUUUUAAGUCUGUUAAAAUCCACCCAAAUAAACUACAAUCUGCAAGCAAACUCAAAAGUGUUCAGGUUGUACUUCAACGCAAUUUUAGUUAGUAAGAAAUUCAGAGAAUAGAGCUUUUUAAAAUGACUUAUUAUUCCUCCUUCUCUCGACAUCAAUCCUCAUCUGCUGUUGUAUAGAACACAUUUAUUGUAUUUGAGUUCAUGUAAAAAACUCCCAAUAGUAAUCUUGUCUUGUGAUGCUGUUGUGGCAUUUCUGCACAAAAAUGAAAGAAGCUUCUUUGUUUCUGUGUCGUAAAAAGUGUUUGAGAUGGUAUAAGCUGUAAGAAAGUAAAUUAA